CAGCUGCCCUCACUCUGAUCUUCACAGGUUUCAGGAGAGGGAUGGUACCAAGUUUUAGGAGAUCUCAGUUCUAAUCCUGACCAAGACCCACAGAGACCUGGCCCUGAGACAGUUUACUUUUGCCUCUGUGUUGGGCUGGAAGUCAGUUUGUAUGACUACAAGGACCAGCUUACUGCAGAAAAACAGACCUUGAUCUUCCGACCAGCUCUCCAAGAAGGUCUGUGUCCAUGGGGGCUCAGAACCCAUCUCCAGUCAGAAAUGUAAUUUACAACUCCCUUCCUUCAGUGUCAAAGCCAACGACAUAAAGGACAUACAAUAUUGAGAAAGACCUAACUUUACUGACACUAUGAAAUA